GAUGAACGCUGGCGGCGUGCCUAAUACAUGCAAGUCGAGCGAACAGACGAGGAGCUUGCUCCUCUGACGUUAGCGGCGGACGGGUGAGUAACACGUGGAUAACCUACCUAUAAGACUGGGAUAACUUCGGGAAACCGGAGCUAAUACCGGAUAAUAUAUUGAACCGCAUGGUUCAAUAGUGAAAGACGGUUUUGCUUUCACUUAUAGAUGGAUCCGCGCCGCAUUAGCUAGUUGGUAAGGUAACGGCUUACCAAGGCGACGAUGCGUAGCCGACCUGAGAGGGUGAUCGGCCACACUGGAACUGAGACACGGUCCAGACUCCUACGGGAGGCAGCAGUAGGGAAUCUUCCGCAAUGGGCGAAAGCCUGACGGAGCAACGCCGCGUGAGUGAUGAAGGUCUUCGGAUCGUAAAACUCUGUUAUUAGGGAAGAACAAAUGCGUAAGUAACUAUGCACGUCUUGACGGUACCUAAUCAGAAAGCCACGGCUAACUACGUG
rnacentral:rRNA from 1 species